AUUUCUUCAUAUUUUCUCAGCCAAAACGCCAUAAAAGGUCUGGAGAAAGCUGGUUUUUCAUAUUUUUACAUCAUAUCAAGAAUCCAAAGAAGAACGAGGAAAAGAAAAAGUUGCGGAAUAGUCCCUAAAUUUCAAUAUCUUCUACAAAUUAGCCGGAUUGACUUGAAGUGAAGUGGGUAGAUCGGAUCAACACAACAAAGCACACUAUCCAGAUCAAUUCCGGUAGUUUUUGUUUUAUGUUUGAAGAUUUAUAUGGCAUGUAUAUAGUUUAAAUGAAAUGAAGUAAAGAUGUUAUAAACUAGUUAACAACAUUUUGUACUAAAACAGUUUUUGGUUAGUAGCAAUAGUUUGAGUUUGAAAA